UUUACUCUUGCACCUGCGCACAUUAC
rnacentral:piRNA from 1 species